GUAUGGGUGACCAUACAUCUGAAGGAAGCGGGACUGCAAAUUCCGGUACUGACGCAUAGGAACGUCAUACAGAGGCCAAAUGAGGUGGAUAAGUGAGCACAUCUUCACAACGUCCCUGACCAACAAACCUCAUAGGGUAGAUGACGCAGGAAUCGGAAGAAGCCUACGCGG
rnacentral:ncRNA from 1 species